GACAAAAAAAGAGAAACAAACAGGGCAGGAGAUGGUACUAGAAGGGGGAGGUUGAUUUAAAAAAUGUCACAUUAAAAAUGCAUGUACUCACAUAUCGGAAUCCAGAAUAUGCCUAAUGCAUAUUUUGGAUUAUUGAAUGCGAGUGCUUGUAUUCUUAAACUCUGUAAAAAAAAAUUCAACUCUCCCUCUUCUAGUACCAUCUUCUGCCCUGUUUGUUUGUUUUUUUCCCUUA